GAUGAACGCUGGCGGCGUGCCUAAUACAUGCAAGUCGAGCGAACGGACGAGAAGCUUGCUUCUCUGAUGUUAGCGGCGGACGGGUGAGUAACACGUGGAUAACCUACCUAUAAUACUGGGAUAACUUCGGGAAACCGGAGCUAAUACCGGAUGAUAUUUUGAACCGCAUUGUUCAAAAGUGAAAGACGGUCUUUCUGUCACUUAUAGAUGGAUCCGCGCUGCAUUAGCUAGUUGGUAAGGUAACGGCUUACCAAGGCAACGAUGCAUAGCCGACCUGAGAGGGUGAUCGGCCACACUGGAACUGAGACACGGUCCAGACUCCUACGGGAGGCAGCAGUGGGGAAUCUUACGCAAUGGGCGAAAGCCUGACUGAGCAACGCCGCGUGAGUGAUGAAGGUCUUCGGAUCGUAAAACUCUGUUAUUAGGGAAGAACAUAUGUGUAAGUAACUGUGCACAUCUUGACGGUACCUAAUCAGAAAGCCACGGCUAACUACGUG
rnacentral:rRNA from 1 species